UUGUCCCCUCUCUCCCUUUCUCGACCUUUGCCGACAAAAGCUGAGUGAAGCGAAAUCUUCGAUUCUGGUUGAUUUCCGUUACUCUGAGAAGAGAGAGGAGUCGAAAUCCGUCUAUGAUCCGUUGUUAUCAUUACGGUUCUUAGAAUUGGGAUUAUUGUAAUGCAAAAUUAGGAUUCUUAGAAUUGGGAUUAGGGUAAUCCAAAAUUAGGUUUCUAUGAUCCGUUUGAUAUAUAGAACAGUAAGAAUUGAUGUGGUCAGAUUGAGAAUUGGUAAUUGAUCUGUUUGAGAAUUGGUAAUUGAUCUCUCAUACUUCUUCUUCUUCCUCUCAAAGAAAUGGCGGAAUCUAAGGUAGUAGUUCCAAGAGUCUGUGCUAAAAAUGACCAUCGAGUGGAAUGGACAUUGGUCAAGAAAGAUGAAGUUGUAGCUGCUAAGAAGAAGAGUGUUGAGACCCGCAAGCUCAUCUUCAAGAGAGCUGAGCAGUAUGCGAGAGAGUAUGCUGAGAAGAUAAUGAGUUGAUCUGAUUGAAGAGGGAGGCUAAGUUUAAAGGAGGAUUCUAUUCUUAAAGAACAUUUUCCUACAAUGGAGUACAAACAGAUAAGUCUUUCAUUAAAAUCUUAUUCAUUCAUUUAUCUCUCUAUUGGGUUAGAGUAUACAUGUAGGCUAGGGGAAGAUAGUAUCUUGUCAUAUUAAUUCUUCAUUGCCUAGACACAUAAAAUUUCUGGUUGAAAAAAUUUUAUAAACAUAGAUUAUCUCAAAUCUAAUCCAACUAAUACUUAAACAAAGCUUUCCAGAAGAAACACAAUUAUAUAUAUAUAUAUAUAUAUAUAUAUAUAUAGAUAUAUUUUAUGAGGAGGAAUGUAUACAAUAGUGUAAUUUAGUACCAAAACGCAGCUAAAGGCUUUACAUAGAAAGAUUGAAACAAAACCAUUUAUGUGUUUCCUUUUUAUUACCACUCUUUCAUCCAACAGAUCGGAGCUAGACUCUAUCGUUGCCAAGCAUGUUUUUUGUUAUCUACAAAUCUGCAGAAAAAAAAUGAAUUUGGAAACUAACAAUAAUAUUUGAGUUUAGAAUCUCACCAGUUUUGGCUGUAUAUUGGCAUGAUGCAGGAUCUUAACUUGGACUCGUCAUGCAAUUUUGUAAAGCCAUCUCCAACCAUGGAGAUAUUGAAAAGCUUUCAUCCUCGAUGUAAAAGGUAAAAUGUUUCUGAUGCGAUGGUUUUAUUUUCCAUGUGUUGACAUGUUAUAUAUAGAGGUUGUAGAUGUUUAGGGUUAUGUUUGAUUGUAAAGCGAGAAAAUCUUGGUGAUCAAGUUCAAAAUCUUGAAAAUCUCGCAAAUUAAAAUUAA